UCCACUGUUGCGUUUUUCAUACGUACGUAUACGCACGUAAAACUUUAAAUCCGUUUAAAUGUUACUUGAAAUUUCUGAGACCUCGGGAAAAAUGAAAUAACCAAAUAAAUAAAGCAACAGAAUUUAGUGUUCCGCAAGUUUUAGUAUGCAUUUGUUAACUUAUUUGUAAAAUAUUUAAAAAAUAGAAGGAUUCAAAGUUUUACGUGCGUGUACGUGCGUACGAAAAACACAACUGUGGA